rnacentral:tRNA from 1 species
GCCAUCGUGGCGCAGUUGUUAGCAUGUCCGCAUUUGAUGCCGAACGCCUGGGUUCAAAUCCCGGCGUGAGCA